AGUGAACGCUGGCGGUAGGCCUAACACAUGCAAGUCGAACGGCAGCACAGUAAGAGCUUGCUCUUACGGGUGGCGAGUGGCGGACGGGUGAGGAAUACAUCGGAAUCUACUUUUUCGUGGGGGAUAACGUAGGGAAACUUACGCUAAUACCGCAUACGACCUACGGGUGAAAGCAGGGGAUCUUCGGACCUUGCGCGAUUGAAUGAGCCGAUGUCGGAUUAGCUAGUUGGGGGGGUAGAGGCCCACCAAGGCGACGAUCCGUAGCUGGUCUGAGAGGAUGGUCAGCCACAUGGGAAGGGGGACGGGGACCAGACGCCUAAGGGAGGGCGCAGUCGGGAAUAUUGGGCAAUGGGGGCAAGUCUGAUACAGCCAUACCGCGUGGGUGAAGAAAGCCCUCGGGUUGUAAAGACCUUUUGUUGGGAAAGAAAAGCAGCAGGUUAAUACCCCGCUUUUCUGACGGUACCCAAAGAAUAAGCACCGGCUAACUUCGUG
rnacentral:rRNA from 1 species